rnacentral:rRNA from 1 species
AUUGAACGCUGGCGGCAUGCUUUACACAUGCAAGUCGAACGGCAGCACGGGUGCUUGCACCUGGUGGCGAGUGGCGAACGGGUGAGUAAUGCAUCGGAACGUGCCCAUGAGUGGGGGAUAGCCCGGCGAAAGCCGGAUUAAUACCGCAUACGCCCUUAGGGGGAAAGCGGGGGAGUCUUCGGACCUCGCGCUAUUGGAGCGGCCGAUGUCGGAUUAGCUAGUAGGUGAGGUAAAGGCUCACCUAGGCGACGAUCCGUAGCUGGUCUGAGAGGAUGAUCAGCCACACUGGGACUGAGACACGGCCCAGACUCCUACGGGAGGCAGCAGUGGGGAAUUUUGGACAAUGGGCGCAAGCCUGAUCCAGCCAUGCCGCGUGAGUGAAGAAGGCCUCGGUUGUAAGACGUCUUCUAGUGGAAGAAAGACGGAGUGAGUUAAUACUUAGUCCGGUAGUGACGGUACCGACCACGAAGAAG